CUGAUGUUGCUCUAUUGUCAGGUAGAGAGACAUGCACAUAUUGAUGUUGCUCUAUUGUCAGGUAGAGAGACAUGCACAUAUUGAUUUUGCUCUAUUGUCAGGUAGUGAGACAUGCACAUAUUGAUGUUGCUCUAUUGUCAGGUAUUGAGACAUGCACAUAUUGAUGUUGCUCUAUUGUCAGGUAGAGAGACAUGCACAUAUUGAUGUUGCUGUAUUGCCAAGUAGUGACACCUGCACAUAUUGUUGUUGCUGUAUUGCCAGGUAGUGAGACAUGCACAUAUUGAUGUUGCUGUAUUGUCAGGUAGAGAGACAUGCACAUAUUGAUGUUGCUGUAUUGCCAGGUAUUGAGACAUGCACAUAUUGAUGUUGCUCCAGUGUCAGUUAGAGAGACAUGCACAAAUUGAUGUUGCUGUAUUGCCAGGUAUUGAGACAUGCACAUAUUGAUGUCGCUCUAUUGUCAGGUAGAGAGACAUGCACAUAUUGAUGUUGCUGUAUUGUCAGGUAGAGAGACAUGCACAUAUUGAUGUUUCUCUAUUGCCAGGUAGUGAGAUAUGCACAUAUUGAUGUUGCUCUAUUGCCCGGUAGUGAGACAUGCACAUAUUGAUGUUGCUGUAUUACCAGGUAGUGCCACCUGCUCACAUUGAUGUUGCUGUAUUGCCAGGUAGUGACACCUGCGCAUAUUGAUGUUGCUGUUUUACCAGGUAGUGAGACAUGCACAUAUUGAUGUUGCUGUAUUACCAGGUAGUGAGACAUGCACAUAUUGAUGUUGCUGUAUUGCUAAGUAGUGAGACAUGCACAUAUUGAUGUUGCUCUAUUGCCAGGUAGUGAGACAUGCACAUAUUGAUGUUGCUCUAUUGCCAGGUAGUGAGACAUGCACAUAUUGAUGUUGCUGUAUUGCCAGGUAGUGAGACAUGCACAUAUUGAUGUUGCUGUAUUGCCAGGUAGUGAGACAUGCACAUAUUUAUGUUGCUGUAUUGCCAGGUAGUGAGACAUGCACAUAUUGAUGUUGUUCUAUUGCCAGGUAGUGACACCUGCUCAUAUUGAUGUUGCUCUAUUGCCAGGUAGUGAGACAUGCACAUAUUGAUGUUGCUCUAUUGCCAGGUAGUGACACCUGCUCAUAUUGAUGUUGCUGUAUUGCCAGGUAGUGAGACAUGCACAUAUUGAUGUUGCUCUACUGCUAGGUAGUGAGACAUGCACAUAUUGAUGUUGCUGUUUUGCCAGGUAGUGAGACAUGCACAUGUUGAUGUUGCUGUAUUGUGAGGUAGUGAGACAUGCACAUAUUUAUGUUGCUGUAUUGCCAGGUAGUGAGACAUGCACAUAUUGAUGUUGCUCUAUUGCCAGGUAGUGACACCUGCUCAUAUUGAU